UACGUAGGGUGCAAGCGUUAAUCGGAAUUACUGGGCGUAAAGCGUGCGCAGGCGGUUGUGCAAGACAGAGGGGAAAUCCCCGGGCUUAACCUGGGAAUGGCCUUUGUGACUGCACGGCUAGAGUGUGUCAGAGGGGGGUAGAAUUCCACGUGUAGCAGUGAAAUGCGUAGAGAUGUGGAGGAAUACCGAUGGCGAAGGCAGCCCCCUGGGAUAACACUGACGCUCAUGCACGAAAGCGUGGGGAGCAAACAGG
rnacentral:rRNA from 1 species